rnacentral:lncRNA from 1 species
GAAGCAAAGUGGAGCAAAAGUGGAUACUUGCCAUUAUUGGAUGAGUACCUUGGAACUGGCAUGACAUCCAUUGCUGCACAUACCUUGGUUCUUCCAGCUUCAUGCCUCUUGAAAUCAAGCUUACCGAAUUCCAAAAUCAACCCUGCAGCCGAAUACGAGACUGUAACUAAACUGGUCAUGCUUAUACCUCGUUUAUUGAAUGACAUACAAAGCUACCAGGUAAAUUAACAUUUUAUAAGGUUUCAUUUCUGAAUUUCUUUUUAUUUAUGGAAGCUUAUGACUUACAUUUACAAUGACAGAAGGAAAUAGAAGACGGGAAAAUGAACUAUGUAUUACUUUACAUGAAAGAAAACCCCGAAGCAGACAUUAAUGAUUCAAUUGCCUUUGUGAGAGACUUGCUUGACAAAAAGAGGAAAGAGUUGCUCAAACAUGUUCUAACGGAGGGAUUGAGUGAUUUGCCUGAAGCAUCCAGGCAUCUUCACUUAUCAUGCAUGAAAGUAUUUCAGAUGUUCUUCAACUCCAGCAAUAGAUAUGAUUCCA